AGUAACGCGUGGGUAACCUGCCUCAUACAGGGGGAUAACAGUUAGAAAUGACUGCUAAUACCGCAUAAGCGCACAGUACCACAUGGUACGGUGUGAAAAACUCCGGUGGUAUGAGAUGGACCCGCGUCUGAUUAGCUAGUUGGUGAGGUAACGGCUCACCAAGGCGACGAUCAGUAGCCGACCUGAGAGGGUGAUCGGCCACAUUGGGACUGAGACACGGCCCAA
rnacentral:rRNA from 1 species